AUGGCUUCCUCAGCCGGCGUCGCCCUGAACCUUGGUUCACCUCCAUCAGAAAAGCUUGCGAGAGGGAAUUUCAUCCUCUGGAAGACGCAGGUUCUCCCAGCCCUGCGAGGAGCGCAGGUUACUGGGCUUCUGGACAACUCCGACGCCGCUCCGCCCAAGACGGUGGAGGUCACAAAGGCGGACAAAACCACGACCCAAGAGCCGAAUCCUCUGUAUGGACAUUGGAUCGCCGAAGAUCAGCAGGUUCUGUCAUAUCUACUCAACUCCAUGUCUCCUGAGAUCCUUGCGCAGGUCGUCGGGAGGGACUCCACCUUCGAGCUCUGGACAACAAUCAACAACCUCUUCGCCUCACAAUCGCAGUCUCGGAUCACCAACCUAAGGAUUGCGAUCACCAACACCAAGAAAGGCACUAUGUCUAGUUCAGCAUACAUGGCGAAGAUGAAGAGCCUCGGGGAUGAACUGGCUGCUGCUGGCCUCCCCGUCUCUGAUCCGGAGAUGGUGGACUACAUACUUGCAGGAUUGGACCGCGACUACGACUCCGUGGUGGCGGCGAUCGGCGCUGUCAAGAACAGCAUCACCGCCGAUGAUCUCUUUGCUCAGAUCUCUGCCUUUGAUCAAAGGAUGGAGAUGUUGGGCGACUCGUCUUCAGGCGGGUUUCAUACAUCUGCUAAUGCAGUCUACAGAGGCCAUGGCUUGUCCCGCAGCAGAUCCUAUCGCGGGCGAGGAGGAAGGGGGCGCGACCGUAGUGGUGACCGCGGUGAUCGUGGUGACUGCCAGCCUUCUCCCUCCAAUGGCAGCGGCGGCUUCAGAGGACGCCCUCGGCAGCAGCAACAACAACAGGUGCGUGAGCAGCAUGACUUUCCAGAGUGUCAGAUAUGUCUCAAGCAUCAUCCAGGGGGUGCACGCGUCUGCUGGUGGCGCUACGAAGAGAAUGAUCAAGAAGAAAAGGAGGCCCAUGCAGUCUCCUAUGGAGUUGACACAAAUUGGUAUGCCGACAGUGCAGCAACAAAUCAUAUAACAGGUGAACUUGACAAGUUGACCAUGCGGGAGAAGUACAACGGAGGUGACCAAAUUCGCACGGCAAGCGGUUCUGGACUUGGCAACAAGGAGAAUAAUUCUUAG
rnacentral:rRNA from 1 species